CAGAAGCUGCAUCGCAGGACAAGCCCAUGGCAGCAGCGGGAACACUGAACCCUGAGUUGCAGGGAAGUCCCCUGACUCAGGACCGCUCCCUGCACCAGGGGACAUGGAGCUGCAUCCAUGGCUCCCCUGCCCCCUCCAUUGGCUCAGGCUGUCCCUUCCUCUGCUCUGGGCUCUCAGGGCUCCUGGUUCCUCCUCUUCUGCAGAGGGCCUGCUCUCAGCCUGCCCCAGGAGGCUGUCAGGAAAUGGGCUGAGCAGAGAGGCAGGGCUCCUCCCCAGGCCUCCCCCAGCCCCACCCACUCUGGGUCAUCAGCUGGGUGGUCUUCUAGGAGAGCCCCUCAGUCACUGCCCUCCUGUGACAGCUGUGCAGAGCCUGGCUCUGAAUCCCUCCUUAUGUGCUGGGGUCCCUGUCUUUUGAGCAGGACUGGAUUGUGAGAGGGUGUCUGCCCCUCCUGUCGUCUGUCCCUUUCCUUCUAAGGCCUGAGGAGGACGGCAUGCUGUGGACUCUCGCCUUCCUUCUAGCUUUCCUGGCUCCUGCCACUUGGAUAUCUUCCAACGUGGAAGGGACACAAAUGUCAAUCACCAAGCAGGCUGGGUCUUCAGUUGUAUUCACUUGUGAUAUUAAACAAAGGAUCACCUACGUCCAUUGGUACCGACACAAGGAGGGAAUAGCCCCACAACGAAUUGUCUACUACCAUCAUCAAGACUCCAGAUUAGUGUCGGAUCCAGGAAUCCGUUUAGAGAGAUACCGUGUUUAUGAAAGCACAGAGAGGAACCGUAAAAUUGAAAUCCGGAAGCUGGAACAAAGUGAUUCUGGUGUGUAUUACUGUGCUAUCUGGGAGGCUCACAGUGAUUCACAUCUCCCCUAUUCUUCACUGAAAAUAUUGCUUGUGGCUGCCAAUAAGUCUUGACACAAAGGAUAGACCAGCCCCUGCCUCACUUACCGCCCUGACUUCACUGUGCUCUGAACGAGACACUCAGUUCAGUGCCCAUCCCCCACCUUUAUGUCCACUGGCCUCCCUCCACUCCCAAUGAGCACUUUCUCUCAUCUCCAGGCCUUAGGCAAGCAGUCUAGCAGACAUCAUAUUCCUUCCCCUCUUCUAGGAGCUGGUGGAGUUCAUUUUAUCUGCUUUCUGGGACAAAGUAACCUAGGGUUGAUGUGUUCAGGGAGACAUUUACGAGAGCAAUAUGGGAAGAAUAGUGAUACCUAAUCAUUUGUCCAUUCAUUAUGCUGAGAUAACGCCUGAGAAAGGAGCUCCUGCCUUUCUCAGGAGAAUGAGAAAUGAUGGAAUGAAGACUUUGGACUUCAUGAAGACCUCGAGCUGGUAUCCAAUGUUUCUUUUGGACAAACUGAUGUUUCCUCUACCAUACCCAACCAUGGCACUGUUCACACAGUGAAAGUGUAGGAACAAAGUGAUUGUUGUAGAGAUGCCAAGCAUUGUGUUCUAUUCACGGGUCUUUUGAAGUUCAGCCUCAGCCAGAACUGUUCUGUCCUAAACAAGUAAAGCCAAAGUUCCUUUCCACCCCUCCCCCAACAUUGACAUGGCCAAGUCCUAAACUAGAAUGAGUCUUAUCAGAUUAAUUUUUUCCCAAUAAUUAAAAUAAAGGGAUGCUUUCCAAGAACAAUCAAUAAAUAGUAUAUGUUUGAACUGAAAAGUCAAAUGGGAAAAGGAUGUGACUGUCAUAUUGGGCCAGGUUUAAGGAUAUAAAACUAAUCCCGAAGUACAGAAAUGCCAGAUUCACCUGUGUGUGGUCUCUUGCGUAUUGGAUCCUCCAGCUUUCUACCGGAUCUCUUGACCUUGACUCUAGAUUAGAGUCAAUAGCUCCUAGAACAAUAGUUCUCAAACUGUGGUCCAGGGACUACCUGCAUCAGAAGCACCUGGAAAACUUUGAAUAAAAGUGCAGGUUCUGGGCAACAUCCAACACAAUAAAUCAGAAAUGUAGGA